AUUGAACGCUGGCGGCAGGCCUAACACAUGCAAGUCGAACGAGUGGCGGACGGGUGAGUAAUGACUGGGAAACUGCCUGAUGGAGGGGGAUGACUACUGGAAACGGAAGCUAAUACCGCAUACCAUCGGAUGUGCCCAGAUGGGUUUAGCGAGUAGGUGGGGUAAAGGCUCACCUAGGCGACGAUCCCUAGCGGGUCUGAGAGGAUGACCAGCAACACGGGAACGGAGACACGGUCCAGACUCCUACGGGAGGCGGCAGUGGGGAGAAGUGCACAAUGGGGGCAGGCCGGAUGCGGCCAUGCGGGGUGGAUGAAGAGGGCCUUCGGUUGGAAAAGUACUUUCGGCGGGGAGGCGUUACCCGAAGAAGAAGCACCGGCUAACUCCGUGCCAGCAGCCGCGGUAAUAC
rnacentral:rRNA from 1 species